AUGGGGCGAACCACAACUAACCCUAUUUGGAGUAAGAUAUGGAAGCUAGCCUGUCUGGGAAAAGUUAAAAUUUUCUUAUGGCGUACGCUACAUGGUACAAUCCCAUGCCGGGUUACGCUAGCAAACAGACAUAUGAAGAUCUCACCCAUCUGCCCCACGUGCUCGGAGGGUUUAGAAGAUACAAAACAUAUGCUCUUCCGCUGUAGUAAAGCAAAGGAGGUCUUGAAAAGGCUAGGGAUGAACGAUAUUAUUGAUAAAGCUUGUGAAGUUGACCGUGCGGAAGAGGCGGUGUUGGAGUAUCUACUACUCCUACCAUAUCAACAUUUGUGGAUAUUGGGUUACCAUAAUGUACCUGAGAUGAUUGCUAUUUCAGCAUGGUACCUAUGGUGGGAAAGAAGGAAGCUGGUACACAAUGAAAAAACUCAAAAUGUAACUCAGAUCUCAAUGGGGAUUCUUGCUCUAACAAAAAAAAUUGUUAAUGCAUUUUCACCCAAGGCGUCGAUCAAAAUGGAGAGUUGGUCUUGUCCUCCAAGAGGUUUCGUUAAACUUAAUGUUGAUGCUUCUUUUGAUCACGAUCUUCUUAGGGGUUCCAUGGGAGCGGUCCUCCGAGACGACAAAGGCAUGUUCAUAGCUGGAGGAAAUGAGAAAAUAGAUUUUUUGGCAGAUGUGUUGAUGGCGGAAGCUUUAGCUCUAAAAUUCGGUCUAACACUGGCGCAACGGGCGGGAUGCAAUCGCCUUAUUAUAAAUUCAGAUAAUUUGGAGGUGAUUGAUACUAUGAAUGAUGGAGGACAAUCGGCGGGUGCGGCGGCAGCAAUCUUUGAUGAUUGUUUACAUUAUGCUUGCGAUUUCGUUAUUGCUAGAUUUAAACACUGUAAUAGGGAAGCAAAUAAAGUAGCUCAUGAGCUUGCUAGAUUAGCUAGAUUUUCUUUGACUUCUGAUUGGUUUGAGAUGCCUUUAAACGAAAUUUUAAUGAUCCUCAUAAACGAUGUACUACUUAUUACAAAUGAAUAA
rnacentral:rRNA from 1 species